rnacentral:rRNA from 1 species
AUUGAACGCUGGCGGCAGGCCUAACACAUGCAAGUCGAGCGGAUGAAGGGAGCUUGCUCCUGGAUUCAGCGGCGGACGGGUGAGUAAUGCCUAGGAAUCUGCCUGGUAGUGGGGGAUAACGUCCGGAAACGGGCGCUAAUACCGCAUACGUCCUGAUGGAGCAAGUGGGGGAUCUUCGGACCUCACGCUAUCAGAUGAGCCUAGGUCGGAUUAGCUAGUUGGUGGGGUAAAGGCCUACCAAGGCGACGAUCCGUAACUGGUCUGAGAGGAUGAUCAGUCACACUGGAACGGAGACACGGUCCAGACUCCUACGGGAGGCAGCAGUGGGGAAUAUUGGACAAUGGGCGAAAGCCUGAUCCAGCCAUGCCGCGUGUGUGAAGAAGGUCUUCGGAUUGUAAAGCACUUUAAGUUGGGAGGAAGGGCAGUAAGUUAAUACCUUGCUGUUUUGACGUUACCAACAGAAUAAGCACCGGCUAACUUCGUG